rnacentral:rRNA from 1 species
AUUGAACGCUGGCGGCAGGCCUAACACAUGCAAGUCGAGCGGAUGAAGGGAGCUUGCUCCUGGAUUCAGCGGCGGACGGGUGAGUAAUGCCUAGGAAUCUGCCUGCCAGUGGUGUAUAACGUCCGGAAACAGGCGCUAAUACCGCCUACGUCCUGAUGGAGAAAGUGGGGGGUCUUCGGACCUCACGCUGGGGGAUGAGCCUACGGCGGAUUAGCUAGUUGGUGGGUUAGUGGCUUACCAAGGCUACGAUGGGUAGCUGGCCUGAGAGGGUGAUCGGUCACAUUGGGACUGAGAUACGGCGCAGAGUCCGACGGGAGGCAGCAGUGGGGAAUAUUGCACAAUGGGCGGAAGCCGGAUGAAGCAACGCCGCGUGCGGGAUGACGGCCUUCGGGUUGUAAACCGCUUUCGCCUGUGACGAAGCGUGAGUGACGGUAAUGGGUAAAGAAGCACCGGCUAACUACGGG